rnacentral:tRNA from 1 species
GGAUAGCUCAGUUAGUUAGAGCAUGGUGCUGAUAACACGAAGGUUGCAGGUUCGAUCCCUGUUUGGGACA